AGGGAAGAGAGAGAGGACCUGUGUUAUAUAUAGAAAAGGGUAAAGGGGGAGAGGGAGAGGGAAAUGAAGAGAGGGAGAAAGAGAGAGGAAGAGAAACAGAGUAUGUGAAGGAGGGAAAGAGAGAGGGAGAGAGAAAAAGAGAUAGUGGAAGAGAGAGAGGAAGAGGGAGCAACACAAAAGGGGAUAAAGACAGACAGAGGAAGAGAGAAAAAAUAAAGGGAGAGGAGGAUAGAGGAAGAGAGAAAGGAAGAAAGAGAAAAAUAGUAGAAAAGAGGAAGAGAGAGAGAGAGAGUGGGAGAGAGGAAGAAAGAGUGGGAGAAAGAGUAGAAGAGAGAGGAAGAGAGAGAGACAGAGACAGAGAGAGAUACAAAGAAGAGAGAGAGGGGCGGAGGAAGGAAGAAAGAGAAGAAGAGAGAGGGAGGGAGGGAAGAGAGACAGACAGUAGAACUAGUGAAUGAGAAAUGACUGGAUGGAGAGCAUGUGAAUAGCUGGAGGCAUGCAGAGAAAAGGAGGUGAAUGGCUACAGAUGGCUGCUGGGAGAGACAUGACUAAAGACAAGAUGAACUGUAGUAAAUAGAUAUGUGUAAAUGGAGAAGUUGUGAGAGUUACUAUUAAUUGUGGUACCAAAGUGCCUAAACUUAAAUACCAGGAUAUACAAGAGACAAUAUGGGCAGAAAGUCCAAGAAAAAAGAGGUGUAAUGUAAGAGAAUUCAAGUGACAAAUAAAUGAAUGGAAAGAAUGAAAUUGUGUGAAAUAUAUGAGGGUAGAAACAUGAAUAAUAUGUAACAAAAGAUGGAAAGCAUCCAAAGGGAUAGAAAUAAAUGCAUGGAAGGACCUAGACAUGGAUGGAUGAAAGAGUCCCCAAGUGGAUGGAUUCACCGAGACAGAAUAGUGUCUUGUGGAAACAUAGAGGAUGUGAGGGUGUGACUGAAUAAAUGUGGAGACCUAGUAAGUCACUAAGGAAUCUAUAGGGGUAUAUAGAUUGAGAAAUGGGUGAUAUGAAAAGAGAAAAAGUGAGAUUCUGGUGUAGGAGAGAUUAAGAAAGUGAAAAUAUGAAUGAAUGGACAUUUUCAAAUAAAUAGAAUUGUACAGUAUUAGGCCCUUGUAGGAAGAGCCUGGGAUGAAUAUUAAGACCAAGUGAAAAGUAAUAAAGGGUGGGAGAAAUGUGAUGAGUGAAAUACAGAUGGUGUAAGUGUUCCAGAGUAAGUCAGAAAGAUCAAGAAAGAUGUUUUUAGAAAGUCAAGUAAUAUAAGCUGAAACAGUGGGUGGUUGAAGAAAAUAAGGGAGCAUAAAGUUGGAUGGAUAAAAAUACUUAGAUAUUCAGACAUAGAUUACUGAAGAGACCCGUGUAGUGAGUUUUAAAGGAUUGAAGAGACCAACUCAGAGGUUUGAAAAAUGGAGAAAACAAGAUUUGCCAUGAUGAAUGGAAAACAUGAUGGUGAAAGACAGAUAUAUUAUGAAUCGAGAUUGCUGAGAUUCCAGAUGUUGAGACACUGAUGUGUGGAGAGAACUGUAAGAAAUGGAGAUUUGUGCAUGGAAAAGUUGACAGAAUUAGAAAUAGAGAUGGCAACAGGCCGAGAUAGGACUGUUUGAAAGGAAUAGUGCACUGAGAGACAUGUAAGAGCAGAGUUGAAGAAAAAGAGAGGUGUAAUGUAACAGAAAACAGUAAAAGAACUUUGAAUAGAACAGAAUUUUGAAUAGAAAUAAUGUAAUUAUAUAAAGUGCAAAAGUAUAGAAAUACAAAUUAGGAUAGAUAAAAGGAACCAGAGUAACAGAGGAAAAAAAAAACAGACACCUAGAUCAAAAAACAUAAAUGAAUGAAAGGAGAAAUCCAGAAAAAAAGAUAUGAAUGGUUUGAUAAAGAAUUAAGAGAAAUAGAAAAUAUGUGGAUAGCUGGAAAGGGUAUCGAGAUGUAGAGCAGAAUCGCAAGGGAGGGAGUGCUCAAGCCCUGGAUGACAGUCCUCAUGCUACUAAUGAUUUUAGGAAAACUCCAUUCAUUCCUAUGCUCUUUAGUGUUUUUAAUAGGAAUAGAUGUUAUAUUUUGCCAAAUGCUUUUUCUACACUUAUUGAUAUAAUCAUAUGAUUUCUGUUAGUUUGGUUUUUGAUAUUGUCACUUGUGCCGAUAGCUUUCCCGAUAUUGAACCAGCCCUGCAAUCUUGGUACAAAUCUUACUUGGUCAUAGUGUAUUAUCCUGGUAUGAUAGGUUGCUGUUAUCUUUUUGCUAAUUUUUACAUCAAUAUUUAUUAGGGAAAUUUGCCUCUAAUUUUCCUUCUCUGUUUUGGCCUUUCCUUCUUUAGCUAUCAGCACAUAUGUGCGGCAUAAAAGAAAUUUGAUAGGACUCCUCCUUCCCCUAUUUUUCCAUAUAGUUUGCAUAAUAUUGGAAUUUAGUUUUUUUUUAAUAUUUGGUAGAAUUCACUUUUAAAUCCAUCAGGCCCUGCGGAUUUUUUCUUAGGGAAUUUAUUAAUGGCUUGUUCAAUUUCUUUUUCUAAAAUGAAACUAUUUAAGUAUUUAUUUCCUUGUCUAUUAAUCUGAGCAAUCUAUAAUUUUGGAGGUAUUCAUCCAUUUCACUUAGAUUAUCAGAUUUAUUGGCAUACAGUUGGACAAAAUAACUCCUAAUAAUUGUUUUAAUUUUUUCUUCAUCGGUGAUAAGAUUUUCAUUUUUGAUACAAGUAAUUUGGUUUUCUUUCCUUUUUCUAAUAAAAUUAACCAAAGGUUUAUCUAUUUUUCUUUCAGAAAACCAACUCUUAAUUUUAUUAAUUAAUUCAAUAAUUUUCUUUCAAUUUUAUUAAUCUCUCCUUUGAAUUUCAAAUUUUCUAAUUUGGUAUGUAAUUGGAGGUUUUUAAUUUGUUCUUUUUAAGUAGUAUGCCCAAUUCAGUGAUCUUCUUUUUCUCUAUUUUAUUCAAGUAAGCAUCUAGAGAUUAAAAAAAAAAUUGCCCUAAUAACUGCUUUGGCUGCUUACCGUAAGUUUUGGUAUAUUGUCUCAUUAUUGUCAUUCUCUUGGGUGAGAUGAUCGGCUGUUUCUAUGAUUUGUUGUUUCACCCACUCAUUCUUUAGGAUUAGAAUGUUUAAAUUCCAAUUCACUUUUUUUGUUUGUUUGUUUGUUUUGUCUGUUUAAAUCACAGGUUUAAUUGAAAGGAAGUAAAACAGACAACUUUUUCAAUAAAACAAGUAGCUCUUGUAACUUUUAUAAAUAGUUAUACAUAUAAGGCCAAUACAAUCAGCCCACAUUUUAAUGGAGGAAGAAUAUUGAGUAAGGAAAGAAUAUGAUCUUGUUUAACAUUGCUGACAUCUCAAAUUUCACGUUAAAAAAAAAUAAACCAUAAAUUAUAUUAUUAGUUGGUGCAGUGAAAUCAGUCAUCUUACUAUUGGACAUCAACUUUCCAAUUCACUUUUAGUCUCGCUUUCCUUGGCCCUUUUUGAAUGUAAUUUUGAUUGCAUCAUGAUUUCUUCACCAUUUCUGUCUUUCUGCAUUUCAUUGUGAAGUUUUUGUACCCCAGUAUAUGGUCAAUUUUUGUAUAGGUGCUGUAUAUUGCUGAGCAAAAAAUAGUAUGUUCCUUUCUAUCCCCGUUCAAUUUUCUCCAAGGGUCUAUCAUACCUAAUUUUACUAAAAUGCUAUUCUCCUUAACUUCUUUCUUAUUUAUUUUAUGGUUCAAUUUAUCUAGUUCUGAGAGGGCAAGGUUGAGAUCCCCUAAUAGUAUAGUUUUGCUGUCUAUUUCUUCUUGCAGCUCUCUUAACUUCUCCUUUAGGAAUUUAGAUGCUAUACCAUUUGGUACAUAUAUGUUUAGUAUUGAUAUUGUUUCAUUAUCUAUGGUACUGAACGAGAUGAGGUGAGAUCUUUCAAGACAGUUGUGAAAAUUGAGUAAGGCUUCAUCUAUUUCAGAGUUGAAGUAGGCUGAAGGACUUUAAGCAUCAAGUCAAGGGCAUACUUAAGUCCCUUCCCUGCUAUCCCCUAAGGGCUUACUUAAGUCCCCUUGUUAUCCUCCUAUGACAUCAGUGUCUUUCUGUUUAGGUCAAAAAUGGGCAACUAUGUACUUAUUGGUCAAGUUCAAUUUCUUGAGUAGUUCCCGCGUUUAGAAUGAAGAUCCUCAGCCAAUAAGGAUGAGGGUCAGUGGUGGGAGGUGGUAUUUGCGUUAGGGAUAAAAAGUGUUGACCCUGCCCCCUACGGUGCUUCCUCCCUUCAAUUGUCUGCUCGAUGGGUGGGACGCCCGAUUCUCGAGAACGUAUAAUAAACUUUGCUUUGCUUCUAGAUAUUUCUCCAGCUUUUUUUCAUUAAAUGCUGGCUGAACCACACAGUACCCUUUAGCAAGAUAUAGUUUCUUUCCUUAUCUCUUUUAAUUAAAUCUAUUUUUCCUUUUGCUUGAUCUGAGAUCAAGAUUGCUACCUCUGCUUUUUUUUUUUUUUACUUUAGCUGAAGCAUGAUAGAUUUUGUAUUAUGUAUCUCUGCUUCAAAUGUGUUUCUUGUAAAUAACAUAUUUUGAGAUUCUGGCUUUUAAUCUACUCUGAUAUCUGCUUCCAUUUUAUGGGAGAGUUCAUCCCAUUCAAAUUCAAAGUUAAAAUUACUAAUUCUGUAUUUCCCACCUUCCUGUUUUUCUAAAGCUGUACUUUUCUCUCUCCUUUAACCCUCUUCCUCCUCACUAGUGUUUUGUUUCUAAUGAACACAUCCCUCAAUCUUCCCUCUUUUUUCAGAUCUUCUUAGGAUAUUCACUAUUCUGCCCCAAAUCAUAUUUUUCACCAGUCUACAAUCUGCCUGAGGCACAAUUUUGUUUUGUUUAUGUAUGGGGGGAAACUAGAAAGCUUGGAAUUUUCUGACCUCUACCAUCUUCUCAGAAUUUUCUCUCUUCUUUGAAGGUCUUAAAGCACCAUAUAAAUUGUGUUAUUAGAGAUUAAUUGAGAUAAGGGCAGGUGAAGAUAAAAAACCAACAAAGAAUAAAAAGGAAGGAAGAAAGGAUAUGCAAGAAAGUGAGGAAAGAACAGAGUAAGGUCAGGGGGACCACAGCAAGAAGAAGAAGAGCUGAGGGAAAGAAAACUUUUUUCCCCUCGAACCAGCCAACAGAAUGACAGAGAAACUGAUGAUUCUUUCUCACUCUUCCUCUGAUUCUCCCUGCCUCUCCCUGCAUGGCCAACAGGACCACAACAAAGAGAUGAACAAUUGGGAUGAGGGUGAGGGGUAGGAGAGAAGACUCGCUUUCUCUUUUCCAGAAUGAGGCCAGCAGCACCAGAACAGCAAGAUGACCAGCUGGGAAAGAGGGAGAUACUGUCUCCCUCUUUCCCUCUUUCCCUCCUUCUUUCUCUCUUUCUCUCUCCUCCUGGAUCCAGCCAACAAGACUACAGUAAAGAGAUGUCUAGAAAAAAGAUGGGGAAUCAGCAUGUCUCCCAGGCCUGACCAGAGGGACAGGAGUGAGUGGAAACACUUCUGUCCCUGAAGCCAGCUAGAAGGCCCAAGAAAAGAUGAGAAGACAAGGAGGAUGUCCGUUUCCAUCUUUCUUAGUGGAGACAGUCAGUGAGGAGCCUCUCUGUCUCCAACUCUCAGUUCCUCUUCUCCCUACUGGAAAGCUCAGCUAGCAAAAGUCUGAAUGAGAGGAAAAUACCAAAAGGUUGAAGGACAAACCCAACAGAGACCCUUUAUGUAUCCCUGGCCCAAGAAGCAAGACUGCCACAACCAAAAGACAACCAGGAGGGAGGAAAAGAGGAAUUUUUCUUUCCUCUCUUACUCUCUCCAGCAUGGAGAUGACCAGGGUGUAAGUAUGAGGGAGGGAGAGCUAGGGGGAAGAUUCUUUUUUUUUUUUCAGAGUCAAAACAAUGGGGCCACAGCAAGAAGAUAACUAUCAAGAAGAGGAAGAUUCUGUCUGUGUCUGCAUCUCCGUUUCAUUCUCUCAUUCUCUCCCUGGAGCCAUGAAGAGGAUUGCCAUAAAGUGAUAUCCAAAACAGGGAGAGAGAGAGAAUGAGGAGGCGCUCCCCUGAACCUGACAAAUGGAACAGGGGUUGAUGAGGCUCCUCUUUGUUUCCCUGGUUCGAAAGAGGAGAUCAAAUGACAAGAUCCAACAGAAGACCCUCUCUGUAUCUCUGGCCCAGGAAGCAAGACUGCCACAACUGGAAGACAUCCAGAAGGGAGGGAGAGAGAAACUUCCAUGUGCUCAUUCUCCCUCCCUUGACAGCAAAGAUGGGACCAGCACAUGAAAAUGGGGAGGGGGAAAGGGAAAGAUUCUAUUUUUCAGGGCAACACCAGUAGGAGAAGCACAAGGAGGAGAAGGGGCAGGAAGAGGAGAAGGGGCUCUAGCUCUUUUUGUGCUCCUCUUCCCCCCCUCUCCAGAAGAGCCAGCUAGCAGAAGCCGGCCUGUGAAGGCAGAACCAUAAAACAGCAGACAGAUGAAUGGUGGAGGAGCUUCUCUUUUCCUGAGUCAGACCAAUGGGGCAACAGCAAGAAGAUGACCUGCUGGAAAAGGAAGACUCUUCUUUCUGUCUGUCUCCCUCUCCCCCUUCCCCCCCUCCUCCUGCUCUUCAGUCUUUAGUCCUGGUCGGUGUUGUCAGUCAUCAUCGGUCAUCGUUGUCAGGGGUUGUCGGUCGUGGUCGUAGGUCAUCAUUGGUCAUGGUCGAGGAUUGUCGGUUGGCAUCAGGGGUCAUCAUUGGGGGUCGUCAGUCGUCGGGGGUCAUCGUCGUUGGGGGCCGUCAUCAUCGGGGCUCAUUGGUCAUCGUCAUCAUUGGUCGUCGUCAUCGGAAGUUGUCGGUCAUCGUCGGGGAUCCAUCAGUCGUCAUCAUCGGGGGUCGUCGGUCGUCAUUGGGGGUCGUCAAUCAUCAGUCGUCAUUGGGGAUCGUCAGUCGUCGUCGGGGGUCGUCGGUCGUCGUCGGGGGUCGUCGAUCGUCGGUCGUCAUCGGGAGUCGUCGGUCGUCAUCGGGAGUCAUCGGUCGUCGUCGUCGGGGAUCGUCGGUCGUCGUUGGGAGUCAUCGCUCGUCGUCGUCGGGGAUCGUCGGUCGUCGUCGUCGGGGGUCGUCGUCGGGGUCAUCGUCGGGGGUCGUCGGUCGUCGUCGGUCGUAGUCGGGGGUUGUCGGUCGUCGUCGGGAUCGUCGGUCGUCGUCAGGAUCGUCAGUCGUCGUCGGUCGUCGUCGGGGUCAUCGAUCGUCGGUCGUCGUCGGGGGUCGUCGGUCGUUGGUCGUUGAGGAUCGUCGGUCGUCGAGGAUCGUCGGUCAUCGAGGAUCGUCAUUGGGGGUCAUUGGUCGUCAUCAGUGGUCGUCGGUCGUCAUCCUCGCUCGUCCUCGGUCAUCAUCCUCGCUCGUCCUCGCUCAUUGUUGGUUGUCCUCGCUCAUCCUUGUUUAUUGUCAGUCGUCCUCCUUCGUCCCUGGGGGUCCUCGCUCGUCCUUGAUCGUCCUCAAGGGUUGUCAGUCGUCCUCGCUGGUUGUUGGUCAUCCUUGCUCGUCCUAGCUCAUUCUCAUAGGUUGUUGGUUAUCAUCGGAUCGGUCAUCAUUCGUUGGUCGUUGGUCAUCGUUGAUCGUCCUGGCUCAUCCUCGCUCAUCCUCAGUGGUCCUUGGUUGUCCUCGGGUGUUGUCAGUCAUCUCACUUGUCCUCAGGGGCCCUCGGUCAUCCUCAGUGGUCCUAGGUCGUCCUUAGUCAUCCUUGGUCGUCAUCGGUGGUCCUCGGGGGUCAUCGGUCAUCCUCAGUCUUUGGUCGUUGGUCAUCGUCACUUGUCCUUGGUGUUCCUCGGGGGUCCUCGGUAGUCCUCGGGUGUCGUCGGUAGUCCUCGGGUGUCGUCAGUCGUCCUCGCUCGUCCUCGGUGGUCCUUGGGAGUCCUCGGGGGUCGUCGGUCAUCCUUGAUCGUCGUCGGUGGUCCUUGUGGGUCAUUGGUCAUCCUCACUCAUCCUUGGUGCUCCUCGGGGGUCCUCGGUAGUCCUCAGAUGUUAUCAAUCAUCCUCACUUGUCUUCGGUGAUCCUUGGUGGUCUUCGGGGAUCGUCGGUCGUCUUCGAUCGUCGUCAGUCAAGCCCCGUCCUCGGGAGUUGUUGGUCAUUGUCGGUGGGCCUCGGUGACCCUCAGUCAUCCUCAGUUCUUGGAUCAGGCCAAUAGGAGGACAGCAAGCAGGAGAAAGGCUGGAAGAGGAAGAUUCGCUUCAUUUCUUCUUCUUUUCUCUUGCCAACAAAUGCAGCGAGCAGAAGGCUAACCGUGAAGAGUUUACCAGAAGACAGAAGAACUACUGCGGAGAAACGGCCAAUGUGGGAGCAAGACAGAAGAUUCUUCCUCUUGUCCUGAUCAGACCAAUAGGACCACAGCAAAUGGUCCCCAGAAAACCUGCUCUCUUUCUGGUGGUCUAGUCACAAGCAAGGACCACAGCAAGGAGAUAACCAGCUCAAAAAGGGAGAUUCUCAAAGAUGACAGAGAAAAACCAGCAAGUUGCCUGGACUGUCCUCAGUUACCCUCAAAACAACAUUCAAUCGAGCCUCUAAGCAAAUUCUGGAGUGAAAGAACUCACAAAAAGAUAAGAUUUCAAGCAGGAUGCUCUGAAAAGAACAGGAAAAGACUUCUGUGAAUUUAUGCAACGUGAAAUAGGCAGAACCAGAAAAACAUCGUACACAGUUAACAGCAACAUCUUAUGAUGACUUACUGUGAAUAACUGAACUAUUCUCAGCAAUACUAUGAUCCAAAACAGUUCUGAAGGAUUUAUGGUGAAAAGUAGUGCGGUCCAUCUCCAGAGAAAGAACUGAGCCUGAAAGGAGAUUGAAGAUACUUUUUCUUUAUUUUUCUGGAGUUAUUUUUGUCUGUAUUCUCUUUCAAAACAUGACUUAUGUAAAUGUGUUUUUCAUUAUCACAUGUGUAUGACAUUUCAAAUUGUUUGCCUUUUCAAUGAAAAGAGGGAGGAGGGAAAUUUAGAACUCAGGAUUUGAAAAAAAGAUUGGUGAAAUUGUUUUUAAUGUAAUUGGGGAAAAACAAAAUAUUGAAUUAUGGAAAGGGGCAAGAAAUGAAGAGACAUUUUUUAAAAACCUGGAAAGACUUACACAAACUGAUGUUGAGUAAAGUGGGCAGAACCAGGAAAACAUUGCCCACAGAACAGCAACACUGUGCAAUGAUAAGCUAAGAUUGACUUAGCCCUUCUGUAUAAGACUGAUCCAAGAUGAUUCCAAAAGAUUCAUGAUGAAAAGUGCCAUGCACAUCCAGAGAAAGAACAUAUGGAGUCUGAAGACAGAUCAAAGCACAUUAUUUUCAUGAGUUUUUUUUUUCAAAAUUUUCCCUUUUUUCCUCUUAUUUCAUGUUAGAACUAUUAUGGAAAUCUGUUUUACAUUAUGGCAAAUAAAUAAUAUAUAUGUGUGUGAUGGCUUAUUUAUGGAUGAUGACAGGAAAGAAAAAAGUAUUGAACUCAAAAU
rnacentral:lncRNA from 1 species